ensembl:lncRNA
CCAAACUGCUACGUUAAUUAUCCUAACCUGCUACGUUAAUUCUCCUAACCUGCUACGUUAAUUCUCCCAACCUGCUACGUUAAUUCUCCUAACCUGCUACGUUAAUUCUCCUAACCUGCUACGUUAAUUCUCCUAACCUGCUACGUUAAUUCUCCUAACCUGCUACGUUAAUUCUCCUAACCUGCUACGUUAAUUCUCCUAACCUGCUACGUUAAUUCUCCUAACCUGCUACGUUAAUUCUUCCAACCUGCUACGUUAAUUCUCCUAAACUGCUAUGUAAACAAUAAACCGACCCGCGGUGCACCUGGCUAUGGCCGGUCUCACCAAUAACGCAGCGUUGAUGUUACACCCAUACUCAUUGCUGUUGAUCCACACAAUUAUUUUGCAACGUCCAUCUUCAGACACACCCCACGCAUGCAGUUACGGUUUCCCAAGCCUCUCUCUAUGAGUAUGCGCUAUGAUUAUGCGCUAACGUUACUUCGUAGGCACUGAAAGUAUGCAUAGUUUUAUUAGGGAAAUCGUUAUUCGUUAUUCUUGCACAGCAUGUUAACGUUUAAAAUCAUAGUAUUGUUUGCAUACUCACCGGGAUCGGCUCCUAACACCAGCCACACGACACGAUAAAAGGCACACAAAAAAAUGACACCAACAUAAUUUGUCCGAGCCUACCGCGGUAUUUAAUCCGCCGCCCCACACCCUGUCACACUGAACGAGCCAAGACAACAGGUGUUGUGCCGAAAAUCUCCCCCCCCCCCUUCGCGUUCUACAUUGCUGCGACUUGCUUGCUAGUUGAGAUGUCUGCUCUUCACUCAGUUGUCAGUUCAGCCUACAUUUCACUGAUCUUAGUAGCAGAAAGCAUCUUUGUCUGCAGUUUUCGGUUUGGCUAUUAGUUUCAAGCGUAUUCGGCGGUUCUUGCUUGUAGUAUAGCGCCCCAGUAUGCCGCUCUGGGUGGCCGCCCAUGUCGCCCGUAUUUAAACCCCCUACUGAUUUCUAUUAGACUACAAAUAAAUCUCUUUGAAAAAAAUGUGUCAUAUAUGCAAAGUCUUAUUCGACUAGUAUUUUUGAAAGUGUAAAGAUAAUAAUUCAGUCAUGGUUGUUCUGAAAUGUUUAUUGCUUGCCAACAUUUUACUCCCUCUUCUAUGUUUAAUAUAACACACAUACAAUAAUGAUUCAUUUCGGUUGCUUAUCCUGAAGUUUGUUCUAUAGAACGUAUUUGACUCUAGCCACACAAUUAGGGAAAUUAGAAGGGGUUGACACUUUUACAUGAACCUAAAACCUCUAAUUCUCAUACAAUACAUCUUCACAGUUUUCAUUUUGAUGUUGCUAUCGAGAACCCGAGGCAUUAACAAGUUAUUCUGUCUUAUCCAAACGCUUCUCAGCUAUAAGCGCUGCUAACCGGUGGUUGUUUUCUUGUUGUUUCUUCAGUAAAGGGUGAUGAAAACGAUAUAUUUUUAAACAAAUAUAUACAUUAUUUUUCUGCAAACAGAUGGUCAAACUUCAUCUCUGUCUAUUGGUUGUUCCCAGAUGUGGUUAACAAGACUCUUCUUCUUUGGUAUCAUGUGAUUCACUCGUUAGUUUGUACCUGCUGCCACCUACUGUGUGGUAAUGUCUGGUAGAUCAUUUUACAUUUUGAGGUACAAAAAUAAAUAUCAAAAAAUGCAC